rnacentral:rRNA from 1 species
UACGUAGGGUGCAAGCGUUAUCCGGAAUUAUUGGGCGUAAAGAGCUCGUAGGCGGUUUGUCGCGUCUGCUGUGAAAACCGGAGGCUCAACCUCCGGCCUGCAGUCGGUAGUACGGCAAGCUAGAGUGGUGGGAGGACUGGAAUUCCUGGUGUAGCGGUGAAAUGCGCAGAUAUCAGGAGGAACACCGGUGGCGAAGGCGGGUCUCUGGGCCGAUACUGACGCUGAGGAGCGAAAGCGUGGGGAGCGAACAGG